UAUCAGCCUUUUGGGCAUGAUUCUGUGGGGCGUGAGGAGUUAAACGCCUUCAUGCCUGCAUAUUCGUGUACUUUGGGUGUACUUGCCUGUGUGGUUAGUUAACAUCAAUUUUGGUUAUCAUAAAAUGGUUGGAGGAAUGUAGCUUCGAUUUCGAUUGAAGUGUUAUAGCCUUCGGCAGAUGUGAUGAUCGGGAUUGAGGAUUGCAACGGAUACCCUUCGGGGCUACCUGUCUGGUCUCUGAUCGUUGCUCUGGUGCCGAAAGCGUGCUUACGGUUAUCAAAGUCGAUGGUCAAUAGGUUAGAACGGGUUAAAUUCGUUAAGGAUGUUGACGUA
rnacentral:rRNA from 1 species